rnacentral:rRNA from 1 species
UACGUAGGGGGCAAGCGUUGUCCGGAAUCAUUGGGCGUAAAGCGCGUGUAGGCGGCCCGGUAAGUCCGCUGUGAAAGUCGGGGGCUCAACCCUCGAAAGCCGGUGGAUACUGUCGGGCUCGAGUGCGGAAGAGGCGAGUGGAAUUCCUGGUGUAGCGGUGAAAUGCGUAGAUAUCUGGAGGAACACCGGUGGCGAAGGCGGCGUCCUGGACCAACACUGACACUGAUGAGCGAAAGCCAGGGGAGCAAACGGG